rnacentral:rRNA from 1 species
AAACGACUCUCGGCAACGGAUAUCUCGGCUCUCGCAUCGAUGAAGAACGUAGCGAAAUGCGGUACUUGGUGUGAAUUGCAGAAUCCCGUGAACCAUCGAGUCUUUGAACGCAAAUUGCGCCCCAAGCCUUCUGGCCGAGGGCACGUCUGCCUGGGUGUCACAA